GAAGGGGAAUAUCUGGUCUCGAGCUUCUAACUCGGAAACCUAGUGGUGUAACUCCAUUAACCCUUCA
rnacentral:tRNA from 1 species